rnacentral:tRNA from 1 species
AGAGGACUGAAAAUCCUCGUGUCAC